rnacentral:miRNA from 1 species
AGUCCCUCAUUUGGCAGGUUUAGC